UUGCGAUGAUGUAUGAAUUUCUUCACCUGAAUCAACGCUGAAGAGCAAAAACGAGCUUUUUAACACUGAGCAAU
ensembl:snoRNA SNORD36 Small nucleolar RNA SNORD36